rnacentral:snoRNA from 1 species
AUGUCAGACCAAAGAUUGAGAGUUCUCCAUAGGAUGUAAUAGUCACUCAAGAGUGCUAUGUUUUCCUGAUAGACAUAGAAGA